GCUGUGUCACGUGAACACAAAGCCACUAAGAAAUGAGAAUCACAAAUGGGCAGGACGGCGGGGACAGAAUCCCCAGUGACUUCAUCUUCCAACCUCCGCCCCACGCCACCACUACCACUCUCUAAUCAUCUCCUUUUCCCCCCCUCUCUAUAAAAACCCAUCUCCACUCCUCUUCUUCCCUAUCAUCUUCUCGCUUCUUUAAAUAAAAAACAAAGAAAAGACAAACACCCAGUUGGAGGAAAAUGUCGGAUUGGGGUCCAGUAUUCAUAGCAGUGGUGCUAUUUGUACUCUUAAGUCCUGGGCUGCUGUUUCAGGUUCCUGGGCACCACAGGUGCGUGGAGUUUGGGAAUUUUCAGACCAGUGGUGCUUCUAUUAUGAUCCAUUCUCUGCUUUAUUUCGCUCUUGUUUGCGUCUUCUUGCUAGCUGUUAAGGUUCACUUGUACCUUGAUUAAUUAGUAAGUACUAGUGAUCAUGGUAUUUUGUUUUGUUUAAGUUGUAUCCUAUACAUAAGCUAUUUACUAAUGCAUCAAUGCAAGUAUUUGUAAUUCUUUGAGAUUAUUGAAUUAUUAGUGAAAUGGGUUUGCAAUUGGGAAAGAGAAAAGCAUGGUGAAUGUAAUGUGGAUUGGAAGUAUGCAAUAAUUAGCCUU
rnacentral:misc_RNA from 1 species